rnacentral:tRNA from 1 species
UAGGGAAAUAGGAAUUGAACCUACAACUAAGAGAUCAAAACUCCUUGUAAUCCCAUUUUACCACUCCC